rnacentral:rRNA from 1 species
UGCAAGCCGAGCGGUAGAGAUCUUUCGGGAUCUUGAGAGCGGCGUACGGGUGCGGAACACGUGUGCAACCUGCCUUUAUCAGGGGGAUAGCCUUUCGAAAGGAAGAUUAAUACCCCAUAAUAUAUCGAGUGGCAUCAUUUGAUAUUGAAAACUCCGGUGGAUAGAGAUGGGCACGCGCAAGAUUAGAUAGUUGGUGAGGUAACGGCUCACCAAGUCUGCGAUCUUUAGGGGGCCUGAGAGGGUGAUCCCCCACACUGGUACUGAGACACGGACCAGACUCCUACGGGAGGCAGCAGUGAGGAAUAUUGGACAAUGGGUGCGAGCCUGAUCCAGCCAUCCCGCGUGAAGGAUGACGGCCCUAUGGGUUGUAAACUUCUUUUGUAUAGGGAUAAACCUACCCUCGUGAGGGUAGCUGAAGGUACUAUACGAAUAAGCACCGGCUAACUCCGUGCCAGCAGCCGCGGUAAUACGGAGGGUGCAAGCGUUAUCCGGAUUUAUUGGGUUUAAAGGGUCCGUAGGCGGAUCUGUAAGUCAGUGGUGAAAUCUCACAGCUUAACUGUGAAACUGCCAUUGAUACUGCAGGUCUUGAGUGUUGUUGAAGUAGCUGGAAUAAGUAGUGUAGCGGUGAAAUGCAUAGAUAUUACUUAUAACACCAAUUGUAAAGGCAGGGUACUAAUUAACAACUGAAGC